CAGGGGUCAUCCAUGUUGUAGCUUAUGAAAGUACUUCUUCGUUGUUGUUGCUGUUUUUGAGAGAGGGUUUUGCUCUGUUGCAUAUGCUUGAGUGCAGUGGCGUGAUCUCGCCUCACUGCAACCUCUGCCUCCAGGGCUGAAGUGAUCCUCCCACCUACACACCCAGAGGUUGGCUGAACCCAAACAUGAUAAAUCAAAAAGAAAAAAAGAAAAAAAAACACAGGCCAUAAGACAAUGGUGCGAUGAGAGGUGGAUGGAGAAGGUCUCAUCACAAUGAAUCUUCCCACCCGGUCCACACAUGUGCUGUGGCUUGGGGUUUGCAAACUCCUGCAGUGAAAUGUUGAUCCUUGACCUAACUAAAUCGCUGUGGUAAAUCAGCUCUGAUGUGCAUACAAAACGGAGUUAACCAAAAGAAAGAAACAUCAGUCUGUAAUACUCAUCCAUUGGUGUGGCCUCCAAAACCUCCCUUCGCUUAAUUAAUAUUUUAGAAAAUUAUUUGGUUGAGGAAGGGGAGUCCCAGAGGUGUUGAGUGGGAUAAACUAACUGGAGCAGGAGCAAGUCCCAGAGGUGUUGAGUGGGAUAAACUAACUGGAGCAGGAGCAGGGAAGGUCUGUCCUCAGAUCCCAGCUCUACCACUUCUUAGCAUGAUGCGUGAUAUCCACGCCUCUAGGACCUCCGAAUGUGGCCUUGUUUGGAGAUUAGCUCGUUGCAGAUGUGACUGGUGAAGCUGAGGUCAUGCUGGGGUGGGUGAGCCCCUGACCCCACGUGUCCUUACAGGAGGAGUUGGUGAGAGGAUGCAGACAGGGGAGAAGCAGGCGUGGAGACGUGCGAGAAGGCAGAUGUGAAGGUGGACAGCGGAGGAGUGUGCUACAGGCUGGGAGCAUGACCAGGAGCCACCAGGACUAGAAAGAGGCGUGGAAUUCCCCUGCAGGCUUCAGAGGGAGCACGGCCCUGCUGGUGCCUUGAUUUCAGACCUGCGGGACAAUAGAUUUCUUGGUUUUAAGUCACGCAGCCUAUGGGACUUUGUCACAGUGGCCCCAGCACACAUAGAUAAUAGCAUCUAUCUCAAAAAGUCACUGUGGCCGAAGAUGAAGUGGUUCCACCGAGUCCACCUGCAAGCUUCCUCUGCAAGGCAUUCCACAGACAACCAGCCUGAGGAGGCCCUGGAAGCUGGAAAGGAGAGGGCAGCUGCCAGCACUUUGGGGCCAGUCCAGGAUGUGCUGGCGACUGCUUGGGUUUUCUCUUUGCUCCUUGAAUCCCAGACUUGGUGUUGAAGCAGCAGCAAUCCAGAGAGGCCAAGGGACACAGUCAAUAAGAGCCCCUGAAAGCCAGCUCUGAAACCAAAGCCCCAGGAAAAGGGCACUAGCGGGACCGAAAACGCAGACAAUUAUUGUUCUCUCGCAGCCAAACUGCGUGGCCACACCUCCACCUGCGCCAGAGAAGGCCAAGAGGCGGGCCGAGGCUUCGAGACCUCCACCCUCACCAGGCUGCGGUGAGGCCCCCAGACCCCCACCCAACCCCUGACCUGCUGGGGUGGCAUAAGAGAAGGCCAAGUGGGGAGCCGGGACUGUCACCUCUGUCAGGCAGUCAUGAGCCAACCCACUGCACUGUCAGUGGAGACCAUGCUGGGAGCUGCCACCCACUGAACAGUAAUAGGGAGCUGUUUCUUGGGUGUCAGUAGAGCGCAGGUGAGGACCUUGGAUUUGUAAUCCCCCCCUUGGGAGGCACCUGUGUGCCCUCCCUUAGCUCUGAGGGAGCAGCAUCAGGGGAAGCCACAAGACAAGGCUUCAUUAACAUCCAGACUCUCGUAACAUGACGUGCAAGCAUACGGCAUUUGCCAGACAGCCACGUACCACACCCAGACCAGGAAGCACAGCAUGUUAAUGAAGAAAACCAUGAACAGGUGCCUGCUCUGGAAGGACAGAGGUGGGACUCCCUGAAAAGGAUUUUUUGAAAUAAAUGAAACAUUCGGCUCAGCAAAGAAAUAGAAGUUAUAAAGAAGAAGCAGAUAGAAAUUUUAGAACUGAAAGAUCCAGUAACCAAAAUUCAAAAUGUAAUUUAUGAACUCAAUAGCAGAACGGAGGGGCUGGGGGUAGAGGAAAGAAUCAGUGAACUUAAAGACAGAAAAAUAGAAAUUGCCCCAUCUGAAAAAAGGAGAAAACCUACUGGGGGAAAAAAAAGAGAGAGAGAGAGAGAGAAAUGAAUAGCACCUUGGAAACCUGCGGGACUAUAAAAAAAGAUGACAUUUGAGUGAUCAGAGUCCUGGGAGGAGACAGAGGGGCGGGGCUUAAAAGCUACUUGAAAAGUGACUGAAAACAUCCCAAAUUUGGCUAAAAACAUCAACCUACACACCCAGAGGUUGGCUGAACCCAAACAUGAUAAAUCAAAAAAAAAAAAAAAA
ensembl:lncRNA